rnacentral:rRNA from 1 species
AGUGAACGCUGGCGGUAGGCCUAACACAUGCAAGUCGAACGGCAGCACAGUAAGAGCUUGCUCUUACGGGUGGCGAGUGGCGGACGGGUGAGGAAUACAUCGGAAUCUACUUUUUCGUGGGGGAUAACGUAGGGAAACUUACGCUAAUACCGCAUACGACCUACGGGUGAAAGCAGGGGAUCUUCGGACCUUGCGCGAUUGAAUGAGCCGAUGUCGGAUUAGCUAGUUGGCGGGGUAAAGGCCCACCAAGGCGACGAUCCGUAGCUGGUCUGAGAGGAUGAUCAGCGACACUGGAACUGAGACACGGUCCAGGGUCCUACGGGAGGCAGCAGUGGGGAAUAUUGGACAAUGGGGGCAAGCCUGAUACAGCCAUACCGCGUGGGUGAAGAAGGCCUUCGGGUUGUAAAGCCCUUUUGUUGGGAAAGAAAAGCAGCAGGUUAAUACCCCGCUGUUCUGACGGUACCCAAAGAAUAAGCACCGGCUAACUUCGUG